rnacentral:tRNA from 1 species
GUGUAGUUCAGUGGCAGAGUGCUUGCCUAGCAUGUAUAAGGCCCUGGGUUUAAUCCCCAGCACA